GGGGGUAUAGCUCAGUGGUAGAGCAUUUGACUG
rnacentral:piRNA from 4 species